rnacentral:lncRNA from 1 species
CCUCAGAUUCUACGUUAAAAAAAACCCCACUAAAAUCCAAGUCAAGUUUAUCUCAGUUUCAUAACCUAGAGUUUGACCCUCUUCAAUGCAAAGAUUACAGCAGCAAACAAAAGUCAACCCCCAUUCUGCCAUGAAUUUCCUGCCAAUAAGGUUAGUAAAAAAGUCAACCCUACUUCUGUCACAUAUUCAUCGGUAAAACAAAUUCUUACCUGAUUUUGGAAUUUGAGCCCUUUUCUUUGUCAUACCAAUCCAUGAAACAUCAUCACAGUAAAGUGCAACUCGGAGUUAUCUGAACUGCAAGAUGUUAGAAUCCAAUUAAGAAACUUGUGCUAGUCUUCUUUUAUCUCCCACACGAAAUAACCAAUCUUUUUUUUUCAACAACCACCCAUCAAAUAAUUCAUAUAAAAUAUCAGAAAAAAAAGUAGCAAGUUGGAUGAAAAACAGGUAGUUUGAAAAGAAAAAGACUACAACUAGUUUAAUCUAAUAUUCCCCAUCCCUUAGUCCACA